GCGCGAGUGGUGUAGUGGUAACAUACCUGCCUUCCAAGCACGUGCCCAGGGUUCGAUUCCCUGUUCGCGCA